UACGAAGGGGGCUAGCGUUGUUCGGAAUUACUGGGCGUAAAGCGCACGUAGGCGGAUAUUUAAGUCAGGGGUUAAAUCCCGCAGCUCAACUGCGGAACUGCCUUUGAUACUGGGUAUCUUGAGUAUGGAAGAGGUAAGUGGAAUUCCGAGUGUAGAGGUGAAAUUCGUCGAUAUUCGGUGGAACACCAGUGGCGAAGGCGGCUGUCUGGUCCAUUACUGACGCUGAGGUGCGAAAGCGUGGGGAGCAAACAGC
rnacentral:rRNA from 1 species